rnacentral:rRNA from 1 species
CAAGUCGAGCGAAUGUGAUUAAGAGCUUGCUCUUAUGAAGUUAGCGGCGGACGGGUGAGUAACACGUGGGUAACCUGCCCAUAAGACUGGGAUAACUCCGGGAAACCGGGGCUAAUACCGGAUAACAUUUUGAACUGCAUGGUUCGAAAUUGAAAGGCGGCUUCGGCUGUCACUUAUGGAUGGACCCGCGUCGCAUUAGCUAGUUGGUGAGGUAACGGCUCACCAAGGCAACGAUGCGUAGCCGACCUGAGAGGGUGAUCGGCCACACUGGGACUGAGACACGGCCCAGACUCCUACGGGAGGCAGCAGUAGGGAAUCUUCCGCAAUGGACGAAAGUCUGACGGAGCAACGCCGCGUGAGUGAUGAAGGCUUUCGGGUCGUAAAACUCUGUUGUUAGGGAAGAACAAGUGCUAGUUGAAUAAGCUGGCACCUUGACGGUACCUAACCAGAAAGCCACGGCUAACUACGUGCCAGCAGCCGCGGUAAUACGUAGGUGGCAAGCGUUAUCCGGAAUUAUUGGGCGUAAAGCGCGCGCAGGUGGUUUCUUAAGUCUGAUGUGAAAGCCCACGGCUCAACCGUGGAGGGUCAUUGGAAACUGGGAGACUUGAGUGCAGAAGAGGAGAGUGGAAUUCCAUGUGUAGCGGUGAAAUGCGUAGAGAUAUGGAGGAACACCAGUGGCGAAGGCGACUUUCUGGUCUGUACUGACACUGAGGCGCGAAAGCGUGGGGAGCAGACAGGAUUAGAUACUCUGGUAGUCCACGCCGUAAACGAUGAGUGCUGAGUGUUAGAGGGUGUCCUCUCUCUAUUGCGGAAGUUACGCACUAAUCACUCCGCCCGCC